rnacentral:rRNA from 1 species
UACGUAGGGGGCAAGCGUUGUCCGGAUUUAUUGGGCGUAAAGAGCGUGUAGGCGGCCAGACAGGUCCGUUGUGAAAACUCGAGGCUCAACCUCGAGAUGUCGAUGGAAACCGUCUGGCUAGAGUCCGGAAGAGGAGUGUGGAAUUCCUGGUGUAGCGGUGAAAUGCGUAGAUAUCAUUUGGAACGCCAAUGGUGAAAACAGCUCGCUGGGGUUUGCUGACGCUGAGACGACGAAAGCCAGGGGAGCAAACGGG